CUACGGGACGCUGCAGUGAGGAAUAUUGCGCAAUGGGGGAAACCCUGACGCAGCGACGCCGCGUGGAUGAUGAAGGCCUUCGGGUCGUAAAAUCCUGUCAGAAGGAAAGAAGUGUAUGGUAGCUAAUAUCUGCCAUACUUGACGGUACCUUCAAAGGAAGCACCGGCUAACUCCGUGCCAGCAGCCGCGGUAAUACGGAGGGUGCAAGCGUUGUUCGGAAUUACUGGGCGUAAAGCGCGCGUAGGCGGUUUUAUAAGUCAGAUGUGAAAGUCCACGGCUCAACCAUGGAAGUGCAUUUGAAACUGUAAGACUUGAGUGUUGGAGGGGGUAGUGGAAUUCCCGGUGUAGAGGUGAAAUUCGUAGAUAUCGGGAGGAAUACCGGUGGCGAAGGCGACUAUCUGGCCAAAUACUGACGCUGAGGUGCGAAAGCGUGGGGAGCAAACAGGAUUAGAUACCCCUGUAGUC
rnacentral:rRNA from 1 species